CGUUAUGAUGACUACCAUAUACCAAAUGCAUAGUUCAACUGAAAAUCUUCGGAUUGCUGAACGAAAACCUAUACCAUCUUUCACCUUGUCUGAUG
rnacentral:snoRNA from 1 species